CCACCCGUUUUUGUGGCCUUUUUCCGCUGGACGAACUUGGCGCCCCGGCCUUCGGGCGGUUAUUUGUGGGUGCGGCUUUGUACUCGGCCUAUAUUUUGCACACGGAGGCCCCUCGUAAAGGCUCGCGGCAUUCCGAGUCCGGCGGACGAAGGUGGCCAGCCCCACCCCCCAAGGCUAUAGCCCACCCGUUUUUGUGGCCUUUUUCUGCUGGACGAACUUGGCGCCCCGGCCUUCGGACGGUUAUUUUUGGGUGCGGCUUUGCCCGCGGCCUAUUUUUGGCACACGGAGGCCCCUCGCAAAGUCUCGCGCCAUUCCGAGUCCGGCGGACGAAGUCGGCCAGCCCCACCCCCCAACGCUAUAUCCCACCCGUUUUUGUGUCCUUUUUCCGCUGGACAAACUUAGCGCCCCGGCGUCCGGGCGGUUAUUUUUGGGCGCGGCUUUGCCCGUGGCCUAGUUUUGGCACACGGAGGCCCCUCGCAAAGUCUCGCGGCAUUCCGAGUCCGGCGGACGAAGUUGGCCAGCCCCACCCCCCAAGGCUAUAACCCACCCGUUUUUGUGGCCUUUUUCCGCUGGACGAACUUGGCGCCCCGGCCUUCGCGCAGUUAUUUUUGGACGCGGCCUUGCCCGCGGCCUAUUUUUGGCACAUGGAGGCUCCUCGCAAAGUCUCGCGUCAUUCCGAGUCCGGCGGACGAAGUCGGCCAGCGCCACCCCCCAAGGCUAUAGCCCACCCGUUUUUGUGGCCUUUUUCCGCUGGACGAACUUGGCGCCCCGGCCUUCGGGCGGUUAUUUUUGGGCGCGGCUUUGCCGCGGCCUAUUUUUGGCACACGGAGGCCCCCUCGCAAAGUCUCGCGCCAUUCCAAGUCCGGCGGACGAAGUAGGCCAGCCCCACCCCCCAAGGCUAUAACCCACCCGUUUUUGUGGCCUUUUUCCGCUGGACGAACUUGGCGCCCCGGCCUUCGGGCGGUUAUUUUUGGGCACGGCUUUGCCCGUGGCCUAGUUUUGGCACACGGAGGCCCCUCGCAAACUCUCGCGCCAUUCCGAGUCCGGCGGACGAAGUCGGCCAGCCCCACCCCCCAAGGCUAUAGCCCACCCGUUUUUGUGUCCUUUUUCCGCUGGACGAACUUGGCGCCCCUGCCUGCAGGCGGUUAUUUUUGGGCGCGCCUCUGCCCGCGUCCUAUUUUUGGCACACAGAGGUGCCUCCUAAAGUCUCGCGCCAUUCCGAGUCCGGCGGACGAAGUUGGCCACCCCACCCCCCAAGNNNNNNNNNNNNNNNNNNNNNNNNNNNNNNNNNNNNNNNNNNNNNNNNNNNNNNNNNNNNNNNNNNNNNNNNNNNNNNNNNNNNNNNNNNNNNNNNNNNNUAUAGCCCACCCGUUUUUGUGGGCUUUUUCCGCUGGAUGAACUUGGUGCCCCGGCCUUCGGGCGGUUUUUUUUGGGAGCGGCUGUGGUCACGGCCUAUUUUUGGCACACGGAGGUGCCUCGCAAAGUCUCACGCCAUUCCGAGUUUGGCGGACGAAGUUGGCCAGCCCCACCCCCCAAGGCUAUAGCCCACCCGUUUUUGUGGUCUUUUUCCGCUGGACGAACUUGGCGCCUCAACCUUCGGGCUGUUAUUUUUGGGUGCGGCUGUGGCCGCGACCUAUUUUUGGCACACGGAGGCGCCUCGCAAAGUCUCGCGCCAUUCGGAGUCCGGCGGACGAUGUUGGCCGGCCCCACCCCCCAAGGCUAUAGACCACCCGUUUUUGUGGCAUUUUUCCGCUGGACGAACUUGGCGCCCCGGCCUUCGGGUGGUUAUUUUUGGGCGCAGCUGCGCCCAAGGCCUAUUUUUAGCUCAUGGAGGCGCCUCGCAAAGUCUCGUGCCAUUCCGAGUCCGGCGGACGAAGUUGGCCAGCCCCACCUCCCAAGGCAAUAGCCCACCCGUUUUGGUGGCCAUUUUCCGCUGGACGAACUUGGCGCCCCGGUCUUCGGGUGGUUAUUUUUGGCUGCGGCUGAGCUCGCGGCCUAUUUUUGGCACACGGAGGCCCCUCGCAAAGUCUCGCGCCAUUCCGAGUCCGGCGGACGAAGUUGGCCAGCCCCACCCCCCAAGGCUAUAGCCCACCCGUUUUUGUGGGCUUUUUCCGCUGGACGAACUUGGGGCCCCGGCCAUCGGGUGGUUAUUUUUGGGCGAGGCUGCCCCCAUGGCCUAUUUUUGGCUCACGGAGGCGCCUCGCAAAGUCUCGUGCCAUUCCGAGUCCGGCGGACGAAGUUGGCCAGCCCCACCCCCCAAGGCAAUAGCCCACCCGUUUUUGUGGCCUUUUUCCGCUGGACGAACUUGGCGCCCCGGCCUUCGGGCGGUUAUUUUUGGGCGCGGCUGAGCCCGCGGCCCCCUUUUCGGCACACGGAGGCCCCACGCAAUGUCUCGCGCCAUUCCGUGUCCGGCGGACGAAGUUGGCCACCCCACCCCCCAAGGCUAUAGCCCACCCGUUUUUGUGGGCUUUUUCCGCUGGAUGAACUUGGUACCCCGGCCUUCGGGCGGAUUUUUUUGGGAGCGGGUUUGGUCGCGGCCUAUUUUUGGCACACGGAGGUGCCUGGCAAAUUCUCACGNNNNNNNNNNNNNNNNNNNNNNNNNNNNNNNNNNNNNNNNNNNNNNNNNNNNNNNNNNNNNNNNNNNNNNNNNNNNNNNNNNNNNNNNNNNNNNNNNNNNNNNNNNNNNNNNNNNNNNNNNNNNNCGGCUCUGCCCGCGUCCUAUUUUUGGCACACGGAGGUGCCUCCUAAAGUCUCGCGCCAUUCGGAGUCCGGCGGAGGAAGUUGGCCACCCCACCCCCCAAGGCUAUAGCCCACCCGUUUUUGUGGGCUUUUUCCGCUGGAUGAACUUGGUGCCCCGGCCUUCGGGCGGUUUUUUUUGGGAGCGGCUGUGGUCACGGCCUAUUUUUGGCACACGGAGGUGCCUCGCAAAGUCUCACGCCAUUCCGAGUUUGGCGGACGAAGUUGGCCAGCCCCACCCCCCAAGGCUAUAGCCCACCCGUUUUUGUGGUCUUUUUCCGCUGGACGAACUUGGCGCCUCAGCCUUCGGGCUGUUAUUUUUGGGUGCGGCUGUGCCCGCGACCUAUUUUUGGCACACGGAGGCGCCUCGCAAAGUCUCGCGCCAUUCGGAGUCCGGCGGACGAUGUUGGCCGGCCCCACCCCCCAAGGCUAUAGCCCACCCGUUUUUGUGGCAUUUUUCCGCUGGACGAACUUGGCGCCCCGGCCUUCGGGUGGUUAUUUUUGGGCGCAGCUGCGUCCAAGGCCUAUUUUUGGCUCACGGAGGUGCCUCGCAAAGUCUCGUGCCAUUCCGAGUCCGGCGGACGAAGUUGGCCAGCCCCACCUCCCAAGGCAAUAGCCCACCCGUUUUUGUGGCCAUUUUCCGCUGGACGAACUUGCCGCCCCGGUCUUCGGGUGGUUAUUUUUGGCUGCGGCUGAGAUCGCGGCCUAUUUUUGGCACACGGAGGCCCCUCGCAAAGUCUCGCGCCAUUCCGAGUCCGGCGGACGAAGUUGGCCAGCCCCACCCCCCAAGGCUAUAGCCCACCCGUUUUUGUGGCCUAUUUCCGCUGGACGAACUUGGCGCCCCGGCCUGCAGGCGGUUAUUUUUGGGCGCGCCUCUGCCCGCGUCCUAUUUUUGGCACACAGAGGUGCCUCCUAAAGUCUCGCGCCAUUCCGUGUCCGGCGGACGAAGUCGGCGGGCCCCACCCCCCAAGGCUAUAGCCCACCCGUUUUUGGGGCCUUUUUCCGCUGGACGAACUUGGCGCCCCGGCCUUCGGACAGUUAUUUUUCGGCGCGGCUUUGCCCGUGGCCUAUUUUUGGCACACGGAGGCCCCUCGGAAUGUCUCGCGGCAUUCCGAGUCCGGCGGGCGAAGUUGGCCAGCCCCACCCCUCAAGGCUAUAGCCCACCCGUUUUUGUGGCCUUUUUCCGCUGGACGAACUUGGCGCCCCGGCCUUCGGGCGGUUAUUUGUGGGUGCGGCUUUGUACUCGGCCUAUAUUUUGCACACGGAGGCCCCUCGUAAAGUCUCGCGGCAUUCCGAGUCCGGCGGACGAAGGUGGCCAGCCCCACCCCCCAAGGCUAUAGCCCACCCGUUUUUGUGGCCUUUUUCUGCUGGACGAACUUGCCGCCCCGGCCUUCGGACGGUUAUUUUUGGGUGCGGCUUUGCCCGCGGCCUAUUUUUGGCACACGGAGGCCCCUCGCAAAGUCUCGCGCCAAUCCGAGUCCGGCGGACGAAGUCGGCCAGCCCCACCCCCCAAGGCUAUAGCCCACCCGUUUUUGUGUCCUUUUUCCGCUGGACAAACUUAGCGCCCCGGCCUUCGGGCGGUUAUUUUUGGGCGCGGCUUUGCCCGUGGCCUAGUUUUGGCACACGGAGGCCCCUCGCAAAGUCUCGCGGCAUUCUGAGUCCGGCGGACGAAGUUGGCCAGCCCCACCCCCCAAGGCUAUAACCCACCUGUUUUUGUGGCCUUUUUCCGCUGGACGAACUUGGCGCCCCGGCCUUCGCGCAGUUAUUUUUGGACGCGGCCUUGCCCGCGGCCUAUUUUGGCAAACGGAGGUUCCUCGCAAAGUCUCGCGUCAUUCCGAGUCCGGCGGACGAAGUCGGCCAGCGCCACCCCCCAAAGGCUAUAGCCCACCCGUUUUUGUGGCCUUUAUCCGCUGGACGAACUUGGCGCCCCGGCCUUCGGGCGGUUAUUUUUGGGCGCGGCUUUGCCCGCGGCCUAUUUUUGGCACACGGAGGCCCCUCGCAAAGUCUCGCGCCAUUCCAAGUCCGGCGGACGAAGUAGGCCAGCCCCACCCCCCAAGGCUAUAACCAACCCGUUUUUGUGGCCUUUUUCCGCUGGACGAACUUGGCGCCCCGGCCUUCGGGUGGUUAUUUUUUGGCGCGGCUUUGUCCACGGCCUAUUUUUGGCACACGGAGGCCCCUCGCAAAGUCUCGCGCCAUUCCGAGGCCGGCGGCCGAAGUUGGCCAUCCCCACCCCUCAAGCCUAUAGCCCACCCGUUUUUGUGGCCUUUUUCCGCUGGACGAACUUGGAUCCCCGGCCUUCGGGCGGUUAUUUGUGGGCGCGGCUUUGUACUCGGCCUAUAUUUGGCACACGGAGGCCCCUCGUAAAGUCUCGCGGCAUUCCGAGUCCGGCGGACGAAGGUGGCCAGCCCCACCCCCCAAGGCUAUAGCCCACCCGUUUUUGUGGCCUUUUUCUGUUGGACGAACUUGGCGCCCCGGCCUUCGGACGGUUAUUUUUGGGUGCGGCUUUGCCCGCGGCCUAUUUUUGGCACACGGAGGCCCCUCGCAAAGUCUCGCGCCAUUCCGAGUCCGGCGGACGAAGUCGGCCAGCCCCACCCCCCAAGGCUAUAGCCCACCCGUUUUUGUGUCCUUUUUCCGCUGGACAAACUUAGCGACCCGGCCUUCGGGCGGUUAUUUUUGGGCGCGGCUUUGCCCGUGGCCUAGUUU
rnacentral:lncRNA from 1 species